CCUACGGGUGGCAGCAGUGAGGAAUAUUGGUCAAUGGGCGCGAGCCUGAACCAGCCAAGUCGCGUGAGGGAAGACGGUCCUAUGGAUUGUAAACCUCUUUUGUCGGGGAGCAAAAGACGCCACGCGUGGCGUUCCGAGAGUACCCGAAGAAAAAGCAUCGGCUAACUCCGUGCCAGCAGCCGCGGUAAUACGGAGGAUGCGAGCGUUAUCCGGAUUUAUUGGGUGUAAAGGGAGCGUAGACGGCGCUGCAAGUCCGGAGUGAAAGCCCAUGGCUUAACCAUGGUACUGCUCUGGAAACUGUGGGGCUUGAGUGCGGGAGGGGCAGGCGGAAUUCCUAGUGUAGCGGUGAAAUGCGUAGAUAUUAGGAGGAACACCGGCGGCGAAGGCGGCCUGCUGGACCGUAACUGACGUUGAGGCUCGAAAGCGUGGGGAGCAAACAGGAUUAGAUACCCCAGUAGUC
rnacentral:rRNA from 1 species